GUUAUUAUUCUAGCCACCCAUAUAACCAAUAAUCUUACUAACAUUAAAAUAAAUCAUUUAAUCAUGGAAGUAUAGGCGAUAGAAACCUUUAUUUGAGCAAUAGAAAUAGUACUGCAAAGGAAAGAUGAAAUAAAAAUGAAAUAAAUAACUAAAACAAAUAAAAGAAAAGAUUAACUCUUAUACCUUUUGCAUAAUGGUCUAGUAAGUUAAACUUAACAAAAAGAGAUGAAGUUAGUUUCCCCGAAACUAGACGAGCUACUUAAGAGCAGCAUAAAUGAGCCAACCCUUCUCUGUGGCAAAAGAGUGGGAAGACUCCUAAGUAGAGGUGAUAUACCUAACGAGCCUAGUGAUAGCUGGUUGCUCGAGAAAUGGAUUUUAGUUCAGCUUAAAGCCCUUUAAAUUUAAUAAAAAUAACAAUAAUAGGACUUUAAAGUUAAUUAAUAAAGGUACAGCUCUAUUAAUAAAGGAUACAACCUAUAAUAUGAAUAAAGAAUAUAAUAACGAAAGAAAUUAAUAAUGUAGGCCUAAAAGCAGCCACCAUAAAGAAAGCGUCAAAGCUCUUUUCUAAAAAACUUAUUAUACCACUAAUUAAUCUAAAUUCACAGACACUAUCGAGCUAAUCUAUUUUAUAGAUGAACUUAUACUAGAAUGAGUAAUAAGAAAAAAUUCUCCAAAUACACGUGUAAAUCAGAACGAAUAAUUCACUGAUAAUUAACGGCCAAAUAUAAUACCAAACAAGAAAAAUAUAUUAACUUAAUCGUUAAUCCAACACAGGAGUAUAAAAGAAAGAUAAAAAGAUUAAAAAGGAACUCGGCAAGCAAGAACUUCGCCUGUUUACCAAAAACAUCGCCUCUUGUCUAUUAAAUAUAAGAGGUCCCGCCUGCCCAGUGAUCUGUUUCAACGGCCGCGGUAUUAUGACCGUGCAAAGGUAGCGUAAUCACUUGUCUUUUAAAUAAAGACCUGUAUGAAUGGCAAAACGAAAGUUCAACUGUCUCUUUAAUCCUAUCAAUAAAAUUAAUUUUUCCGUGCAGAAGCGGAAAUAAAUAUAUAAGACGAGAAGACCCUAUGGAGCUUAAAACAUAAAAUUAAUUAUAUUAAUUAUAUUAAUCAAUAGGUAAAAGAUAAAUCUAUAUAGUAUAAUUUAAGUUUUGGGUUGGGGCGACCACGGAAGAAAAGAAAUCCUCCGAGAUAAACAAUUUAGAAAUACAUUUCGAAAACUAAGACAUUUAUUACAAAUGAUCCACUAAGUGACCAACGAACCAAGUUACCCUAGGGAUAACAGCGCAAUCCUUUCUAAGAGUUCAUAUCGACGAAUGGGUUUACGACCUCGAUGUUGGAUCAGGACACCCCAAUGGUGCAGCCGCUAUUAAAGGUUCGUUUGUUCAACGAUUAAAGUCCUACGUGAUCUGAGUUCAGACCGGAGUAAUCCAGGUCAGUUUCUAUCUAUACCAUAAUUUUUUCUAGUACGAAAGGACCGAAAAAAUGGAGCCCAUAAUAACCUAAGCUCCUUGCACUAUUGAAAACAAGUAAAAUAGACAAACAAACCUACUACCCAAAGAACAGGGGUUA
rnacentral:rRNA from 1 species